UCGGUGUUAGCGUCGGUAAGCUUGUCUCGGAAAUUCGGGUGUUUUAAUCGUGUUUUUCGUAGUUAAAAGUGUUCGUAUUACCGUAAAUUAGUGUCGAACUAACGUUUGGUGCAUUUUAAACUGUCGCUGAUAUGGUUUUUAAUUAGAUUAUUCGUGGAUGCAGCUAAAGUUUGCGAGAAAUCGUGGUAGAUGGCGUCAAUGAAAGGUGAAAAAAUGGCAGUCCAGGACUGCAGAAAUAGAUCUAUCUGGAAGCUAUAGCUUCGCCUAAGUCGACCACAUAUUAUCAUUGAGGCCGGAUCAAGUUUUGACUCCAAUCAGAAGUUCGGUUCUUCAUCCGAUCUGGUUCAAUGAAGUACACUCAUCCACUAGUGAUCAU